rnacentral:rRNA from 1 species
AGAGUUUGAUCAUGGCUCAGGACGAACGCUGGCGGCGUGCUUUAGACAUGCAAGUCGAACGCGAAAGCCCCUUCGGGGGCGAGUAGAGUGGCGAACGGGUGAGUAACACGUGGGUAACCUACCCCUCACUGGGGGAUAACCGGGGGAAACCCCGGCUAAUACCGGAUGCUCCGGAAACGGCAAAGAUUUAUCGCCAAAGGAUCGGCCCGCGUCGGAUUAGCUAGUUGGUGGGGUAACGGCCUACCAAGGCGACGAUCCGUAGCUGGUCUGAGAGGAUGAUCAGCCACACUGGGACUGAGACACGGCCCAGACUCCUACGGGAGGCAGCAGUGGGGAAUAUUGCACAAUGGGCGAAAGCCUGAUGCAGCGACGCCGCGUGAGGGAUGACGGCCUUCGGGUUGUAAACCUCUUUCAGUAGGGAAGAAGCGAAAGUGACGGUACCUGCAGAAGAAGCGCCGGCUAACUACGUGCCAGCAGCCGCGGUAAUACGUAGGGCGCAAGCGUUAUCCGGAAUUAUUGGGCGUAAAGAGCUCGUAGGCGGUUUGUCGCGUCUGCCGUGAAAGUCCGGGGCUCAACUCCGGAUCUGCGGUGGGUACGGGCAGACUAGAGUGAUGUAGGGGAGACUGGAAUUCCUGGUGUAGCGGUGAAAUGCGCAGAUAUCAGGAGGAACACCGAUGGCGAAGGCAGGUCUCUGGGCAUUAACUGACGCUGAGGAGCGAAAGCAUGGGGAGCGAACAGGAUUAGAUACCCCGGUAGUCC